rnacentral:rRNA from 1 species
AUUGAACGCUGGCGGCAGGCCUAACACAUGCAAGUCGAGCGAGAGGCGGACGCGGGAGUAAUGUCUGUGAAACUGCCCGCUGGAGGGGGAGAACUACUGGAAACGGUAGACAAUAUCGCAUACCAUCUCAUGUGCCCACAUGGGAUUAGCUAGUAGGUGGGGUAACUGCUCACCUAGGCGGCGAUACCUAGCUGGUCUGAGAGGAUGACCAGCCACACUGGAAAUGAGACACGGUCCAGACUCCUACGGGAGGCAGCAGUGGGGGAUAUUGCACAAUUGGGGCAAGCCUGAUAGAGACAUGCCGCGUGUGUGAAGAAGGCCUUCGGGUUGUAAAGCACUUUCAGCGAGGAGGCGUUGCCCGCAGAGGAAGCACAGGCUAACUCCGUGCCAGCAGCCGCGGUAAUUC